rnacentral:snRNA from 1 species
AUCACUUCCCAGCCUUUUGGCUAAGAUGAAGUUCUUAUGAGUUUAAUAUCUGAUGCAUCCUCUAUCCAAGGACAAUAUAUGAAAUGGCUUUUUGGAGCAGGGAGAUGGAAAAGGACCCUGCUCUUUCUACUCUGUGCACGGACCUGGUCUUGCAGUACUUCCAGGAAUGGUGCACCCCCU